rnacentral:lncRNA from 1 species
CCGGAGAGUCUGCACAUGUUCACCUUCCUCUUUGAUGAUGUUGGCAUUCCACUCAACUACAGGCACAUGGACGGUUUUGGUGUCAACACCUACACCUUAAUCAGCAGGGAUGGAAAGGCGCACCUUGUUAAGUUCCAUUGGAAGCCUACAUGUGGUGUGAAGUGCCUCUUAGAUGAUGAAGCCGUUACUGUAGGAGGCACCUGCCACACCCAUGCCACAAAGGACCUGACUGAUGCUAUUGCAGCUGGGAAUUACCCAGAAUGGAAGCUUUUCAUUCAGACCAUUGAUGCUGAUCAUGAGGAUAAAUUUGACUUUGACCCUCUUGAUGUCACCAAGACCUGGCCAGAGGAUAUCAUCCCACUGCAACCAGUUGGACGGAUGGUGCUCAACAAGAACAUUGAUAAUUUCUUUGCAGAAAAUGAACAACUUGCUUUCUGCCCAGCAGUCACUGUCCCUGGAAUCCACUACUCUGAUGAUAAGCUGCUCCAGACAAGGAUUUUCUCCUAUGCUGAUACCCAAAGGCACCGUCUCGGUCCAAACUACUUGAUGCUUCCUGUGAAUGCCCCGAAAUGUGCUCACCACAACAACCAUCAUGAUGGCUUAAUGAAUUUCAUGCACAGGGAUGAGGAGGUACAUUGUUCUUUAAAACUUUUUCAUCCCCUUCUGCUUGCAUGAUGCAGUAUUUCCUCCGAUUGACAGAAAUAAUAUGUACGUAGUUAUGUUUCAAGUUCACUGCAUUUACAUAUAUUUGGCUUGAUUUCCAGGUGAACUACUUCCCUUCAAGGUUUGAUCCUACUCGUCAUGCUGAACAGUACCCUGUCCCUCCUCGCGUUCUAUCUGGCUGCCGGGAGAAGGUAUGCAACUUGGAAUGACAGAAUUCUUGUCUCACUACUGCCAUUCGUCGGCCAUUGAGCCAUAAGAACUGUUUCCAGUUAUUAUUUAUGACUAAAAUACUCUGUGAAUUAAAAACCACCAUGUGUUUGACAAAUGGUUUGCUACAUUUGUACUUUUGGAACUGCAGUGCAUCAUCGAAAAGGAGAACAAUUUCAAGCAGGCUGGCGAGAGAUACCGUUCCUUCGGCCCUGCCAGGUUCCAUCCCAAACUCAGUUUGAUUUGUUUCAAGUCUUUAGGCACAUAGAAGAAAUCAAGCAUCGUUGCUAACCGAACUGUUUCUUAUAUGAAAACACAGGCAAGACCGUUUCCUACAGCGCUGGGUUGAUGCGCUCACUGAUGCUCGUGUUACCCAUGAAAUCCAGGGCAUCUGGGUCUCAUACUGGUCACAGGUACAUUCUUCUGUCUUUUAUUCACUCCCAGUUGCCAGUGGGUGACCAUGCACACUGCUCUACUGUUAUUUGUGUCUGUAUCAUCUAAACACACUGAAACCAACCAUGCUUUUUACCAAUGCUGUUGCAGUGUGACGCGUCCCUCGGGAAGAAGCUGGCAUCGCGGCUCAAGAUUAAGCCGAGCAUGUAGAUGGAAAAGGAGGAGGGAACCAGUCGCUCACCCGCCUCGGUUGGCGUCGAUCGAGCCAAGGAGGGUGCAGCAUGAACUGAAUCUGUCUCUGUGUGGGUGUAGCCAUGAAUAAAAAUGUGUAAUGAAUAUUGUAUGUAAUACCCAUGAUGGUGGGUGUUGUGAUACAGUUCGUCUGUCGUAUUGUGUCUGUGCAAAAGAGAAAAUAAAAGACAAUGUGUUGGUUAAUCUUUGCUGUGUUCCAUCUUCAGUCUGAUAGUAGAAGUUUUUGAUGAUCCACUUUUGUUUGGCUUUCCUGCCACUGUUGUAUCAUAAUUUCAGAUGUGGUAAUUGCCAUAAACAAAAGGGCACCUAAUUUCAGAUCAAGAGAUUUUUAUGCUACUAAAAAUUUCAAAUAGGAACGCAAAAAAAAAAAAGAUUUUGGAGUCUGUCAGACAACCUCUGGGCCACCCUGCACAGGCUGAGCCAGGCAGGAACGAUCCUCUACAGCCGUCGGAUCCAGCAGAUGAAUCCUGGCCGUUAAUCACGCUCUGGCCCAGAGGUCAGAGGUCAUCAACCAGACUUGAGUGCUUGCCUCCUUAUUGGUAAAGGAUGCAACGGUACGAGCCUAUAGAACAGAUCCUGUUCAAGUAAGGUCGUGCUACAAGCUGCAGCGCCUCGCCUUAUAAACCGGUACCUCUCCGCGUGAACUAGCGAGGUGGGACUAAUAUAAGGGAGCGCGCAGCAGCGCAGCGCCUCCUCCUCGGUCGCAGAAGGGCUCGUGGGCUGUUGGCCCAUGUGGUUGGGCUGGAGAAGACAUGCAGCGCGGCCCAUCUGAGUGAGAUACGAUACGUAGACAGAGAUAGGCCCAUCUGAGAAAUACUUGUCCUGCUGUAGUAUGGCUUUUCUUUCUUCCCUCCCCAAAAAAAAAGAGUAUGGCUUUUCUUUCCUGUGAACUUGGAUUAUUAUUUUCUUUCCUGUACGGCAGUUGCAUCAGCUUUUCAUUUCCUUCCCGAGAUUUUGAUAUUUUUUUCUUUUUUGUCAAAGUAUAUGAGAAAUGUUUUUUUGGGCGGGGAUACCUGAGAACAUUAAGUUGCUUUUCCAGUGUACGCGUAUUCUCUUGUUAGCUCAUCGCAUUACUAUUAAAUAUUAAUAAAAACACCCAUGCGGCAUGCACUUGUUCUCUUUGCUGGCUCGGUUCUUCAAAGUUACCUCUGUUGCUGCAGUUUCAGGCUCAGGGCUGAUUCAAAGAGGGAUGAAUGAGCUGAGGACUGGCUCGGUCCGUGUACUUUUGUUGCAUUUCCAGUGCUCAUUUUCGAAGUAUUGUCCAACAUCGGCUCAGCCUCAGCUUCUUGCUGCAUGUUCAGGGAAUAAUCAUUGAACUUCUCUGAAGUUGCUGACCCUUGCAUAAAAAACCAACAGACAAUCUACAAAAACAGCCACCUGCUCUUCCCUUCUCCAUUCUCAACUUGCCUUUUCUCCCCGCGGGCAGAAGGCAUAGACAAGCUUAUCCUUGGGUUUCAACACCAUGGAUGCAUGUGGGAGGAUGGGGCCAGGUGCAGCUCCAAUUAAUCAGGGUCAGCAAGUCAGAAUUCGGUCUGAUGUCACAAACAGGAAAAGGUUGGUGCUGCUAUUAAACAGGUGCAUCGCUAUUUCUGUACAGGCCUGAAAGUUGGGGUGCAGAUAUUAGACAUGUAAGUUAAGUAGAUAAUAACAGUUAAGGGCAUCUCCAGCCGUUGGCCCCCCAGGACGCAUAAAAAUCGCCCCCUGGGGGCGAGCCGGAGAUACACUCGGCGCUGGGGCGAUUUUGCGCCCAGUCGUCGCCCCCAGGCGCCGAAAUUGGCCCACUUUGCAGCCCAAUUUCGGCGAAUAAAGGGCCCAUAUGGGCGAGAAUAGGCUCAUAUUCGACGUGGUUUCGCCGUGUCUUGGCGUUCAAUUAUCAACACAAUUAUUUCUUAUCACAUAUUUCAUCACAGCAAAAUCAAAUACUUCAACAAAAUAGUACAACAACAAAUAGUUCAAUACAAAUUAUAUAGUUCAAUAAAUAAAAACUCGUAUUUCAUCACACGGCGUCCCCCUUGAGCCUCCAUAGGUGCUCAAUCAGAUCUUUCUGCAGUUGAUGAUGCACCUGUGGGUCUCGGAUCUCCUGACGCAUACUGAGAUAGGCAGUCCAAGUUGCCGGUAGCUGGUGAUCAACUUCGGCUAGAGGACCCUGCCUGUAGUAUGGUUCAGUGUCAAACACUGGGUCUUCUUGCUCGCUCUCGAUGAUCAUGUUGUGCAAGAUGACACAGCAAGUCAUAAUCUCCCACAUUUCAUCUUUGGACCAGGUCUGAGCGGGGUACCGAACAACAACAAAUCGAGAUUGGAGCACACCAAAUGCCCGCUCGACAUCCUUCCUGCAAGCCUCCUGAAGCUUCGCAAACCAGGCGUUCUUGCCUCCUGCCACAGGGUUUGAGAUCGUCUUCACAAAUGUCGAUCAUCUCGGAUAGAUGCCGUCAGCUAGAUAGUACCCCUUGUUGUAUUGGUGCCCAUUGAUCUCGAAGUUCACCGGAGGAGAAUGGCCCUCAACGAGCUUGGCAAAAACAGGAGAGCACUGCAGCACGUUGAUGUCAUUGUGAGUUCCUGGCAUACCGAAGAAGGAGUGCCAAAUCCAGAGGUCCUGUGUGGCUACCGCCUCAAGCACCACACUGCAACCGCCUUUGGCGCCUUUGUACAUCCCCUGCCAACCAAAUGGGUAGUUCUUCCAUUUCCAAUGCAUGCAGUUGGUGCUUCCAAGCAUCCCAGGAAAUCCUCUUGCUGCAUUCUGGGCUAGGAUCCGAGCAGUGUCUUCCGCAUUGGGUGUUCUCAAGUAUUGUGGCCCAAACACUGCCACCAGUGCCCGACAGAACUUGUAGAAAUACUCUAUGCUGGUGGACUCGGCCAUGCGCCCAUAGUCGUCGAGUGAAUCACUGGGAGCUCCAUAUGCAAGCAUCCUCAUCGAUGUCGUGCACUUCUGAAUGGAGAUGAACCCAAGAGCGCCAGUGCAAUCCAUCUUGCACUUGAAGUAGUUGUCAAACUCCCGGAUGGAAUUCACAAUCCUGAGAAAGAGCUUUCGGCUCAUCCGAUAACGGCGCCGAAAUGUUCUCUCGCCAUGAAGUGGAGCAUCGGCGAAGUAGUCGGAGUAGAGCAUGCAGUAGCCUUGGAGACGAUGCUGGUUCUUUGCUUUCACCCGCCCCGGCGCCGAGCCACCUCGCCGCGGAUUUUCAUUGCUCGCCAGCAGCUGGGCGAGGGCGGCGAGCACCAUGAGAUGCUCUUCUUCCUGGUCGUCGGCCACGGCUUCCUUCUCCAGCAGCGCGGCGAGCUCUUCCUCCUCAUCCGAGUCCAUCGCCGAGACAAGCAAAACGCCGAACACCUUGCGCUCGGUGGGCGUGUACCCGUCGUUAAACCGCGCCUCCGCGGCCGAAAACGCCCAACUGCUUGGGAGGGGCUGCCGCGGCGAAGCGCUGCUAUUUUCCGGCGGGGAAUGGCUAUCUACCGGAGUAGGGCGGCGGCCGUCGCCGGGAUAUAGCUAGUGGGGCGCGGGGGGUGCGAGGCGAGUCGGGGGAAGAAAACCUUGACUUUUCCCCUAUCGGUGUGGCCCAGGCGUGCUUUUCCCUAGCGCUAGAGCCCCAAACUGCUCCCCAGCGUGCCGGGUUCGACCUGUGACCGCCGGGCAGAAAAAAGGUCCAAACCGACGAUUUUCGGCGUCCUGGGGGCGCGAAUGGGCCGUUUUUUCGGCGCCGGCGCCGAAAAAGUGGCCUGGGGGGGGGCCUGUUGGGGGCGCGGCUGAAGAUGCCCUAAUAAUUCAGUAAUGGAGUGUAUGUACUUAUGUAUACCUGGAUCAUAUGAACACACACAUUGUAACCAACCAAUGUUUUUACCAAUGCUAUUUGCAGUGUGACGCGUCCCUCGGGCAGAAGCUGGCGUCGCGGCUCAGGAUGAAGCCGAACAUGUAGAUGGCCAAGGAGGAGAGAAGCAGUCACUCACUCGCCUUGGUGGGUGUCGAUCGAGCGGGCCAAGGAGGGGGCAGCAUGAACUGAAUUUGUCUUUGUGUGGGUGUAGCCAUGAAUAAAAUUGUGUAACAUUGAUAUGAAUAAUAAAAGACAAAAUGUGAUGGUUAAUCUUGCUGUGUUCCGUUGUUCAAAUCAUAAUUUCAGAUGUGCCAUAGACUGUUUAAUCUUUCAUAAUCAAAAGUGCAGCUAAUUUGCAGUUGUUUUUACUAGCCUGAAAACUUAAAAGUGCACGCGCACUAUUUAAUCAACUCAAGCGGCCGGUUAUUGACCGCACGAUCGCGUCCUGAUCUGAAGCGUGCGUCAGGUGCGACCUGGUCAGGACCGUGCAGGCGUACACACAACCCACCUUGCGACACGUCAAUGGCCCCACAAGCCGUGGAAGGGAGUGGACGGUUCGAGCGGCGCACAGACGACUGUCUCUCCCCGAUCCCUUUCUCUCCUUCAUCUCUCCUGUUCGUUGUCAAAACAGAAAUCCCCCACAUCUGCACCCAAAUCCCAUCGAUCAGCGGCAAAGAAGGAAGGGCACGGCUGGCGGGGAAUCGCCGCCAUGACUGCGUGCAAAGGGGAGAUUGGUGCAGUAGCGGCCAGGCGAAGAGAUCUCUUUGUGGAUCUGGCAACUGUGCGGGCAGUGACAAAAAAGACUAGAUCGGCAAGGCGGGAUGGACACGGUGAGGCGCCACCAUCCGGCGAUGGGCGGCGGCUGCGGGGGCCCGACGUCGUUGCGGUGCUCCAGCUCGCCGGCGCAGGAGUUCGCGGGGCUGGCGUCCGUGUUCCGGCGGCGGCUGGUGGUGGGGACGACUAUGGUGGCGGCCGACUUUGGGGCGUCAUCAGGCUGUCCCCAGAGCUCGGGCGCUCGCUGAGGCUCGACGUGCCUGGACUCCUCCAUCUGCGGCUUCACACGAUGCCUGGACUCCUUCAUUGAUUCGGUAAUUUGAUGACCAACAACAGCAGCCCCCUUUGGUAGCUUAGCUUCCUUCUCCUACUUUUUUUUAUCAAUUCUUGGUUGAACAAACAGACUACUACUGCUCAACGUUUACGCAUUAACAGCUGAUUUCUGUCAUUCCAUUCUCCUCAAGGGAUUGAGUUGCUCUUUCAGAUCCGUCACGCCAUUUUGCUAAAUUUUUCAGAGUUCAAAGCUUUUGGAUUCUAGCCAAACACUAUACUACUGAGGUAAUAUCAUGCAAAAAAGAAGCACUUCAGCCACAACUCAUUUAGGGACCAGCCGAAAAUGUUGCACACACACAUAUUCGCGCGUGGCCGCAGAGUUGCACGCUCUAGUUGGUAUAGUCGCACACGCUUGGUCGCGUAGUUGCACACUCUUUGGCACAUGCCCGGCCGCGUAGUCGCACAUGCAUGCCCGCAGAGUUGCACACUCUUGCCGGUAUAGAAGCACAUGCCCGGCCGUGGAGUUGCACGCUCUUGUUCGAGUAGUCACGCAUGCACUCCUGCGGAGUUGCACACUCUUGUCGACUCUUGUCGGCAUAGGAGCACACGCCCGGCCGCAGAGUUGCACACUCUCGUCCGCGUACGUAGUCGCACACACACGAUCACGGAGGUGCACACUCACUUCCAAGCAGUCGCACACGCACGGCCACAGAGGUGCACACGUGUGUCGGCACAGUCAUGUGUGCGUGUGGUUCUUUGGUUGCACACUCAAGUGUGCCCUGUUUUCAAGUGUAUACGUGAGGAGUUUGUAGAUCUAAACAGUUCAUAUCCUAGUUGGCUUUGCCACGGUUAUGCAGUUUCACAGGGAAUGGCUAUCGGCUAGUUUAGUUUUGGCUCCAGUGCCUACGUCAUCUUCAGGCAGUGUGUAUGUUGAUUUUUUUUUUGGUUGCACACUAAUAUCUGCCCAGUUGGCCAUACAGUGCAUCAAGUUGCACACAAUUUUGUUUUGUUUGGUAGGUGUGCUUUGAAAAAUCAGCAUGAGUUGCUUACCUCAUGGCACUUUUUUGAUAUCAAUUGUUCUUGCUCCAUUUUUCUUUAUACAUUUGGUUGCUACGACUAAUUUGUUUGUUCGCUUUUUUUAGCAGACCAAAAAUGGUUGUAGAAGGAGAUGUGGCUCCUAGUGAAGGAUAGGCAUGCUCGCUUUUUCGUCGUUUUUCAUUUAUCCUUGUAGCAGUUUUGUUUUCAAUUAUAAUAACUAUUAUUUUGGGGUUUUCCUACCAUGUUCUAUGUUUUGUUUGUUUUAUGCAGGGGUCUGCAAACCGUUCUUCUCGGCAGAAUUCGAAACGGCAUGCUGAUCGGCAGUCUCGUCGUGUUGAUAUCGAUAGGGAGGUAGAGGAUGAUGAGGUAAGUAUCGAGCAAGCACUGUGGGUGCAUUCCCCUUUCCUGCAUACACACAAGUAACUUCUUUCAUGCAUCCUUUAGGUUGGUGACCAAUUCUGCAUUGUGAAACGAUGGAAAUGGAAGGCGGCCGCGCUGGUGGGAGUUGUGUAUGAAGAUGGCACAUCGUUUGCAACAGUUGUUGAGGUAACAUGAAAUGGUAUUAGGCAUUUUUCUUUUCUUUUUUCUACACAAAGAAGCCUGGGAUGUGAUUCUUUUACACAGUUGCAUAAGAACCAGCUAGAUACUGGCAUCCCGAACUUUUAUAGUUGCACAAAAAUUAAUUAAGAGUUGUUAUCCUCAACUUUUCAAAUAGUUGCACAACGGUAUCAUACGAGUUGGCAUCCUCAACUUUCGUAGUUGCACCAGAACCAUUUUGGAGCUGGCAGUCUCAGCUUUUUAAAUAGUCCCACAAUAGUAUCACUGAGUUGGCAUCCUCAACUAUUUUAGUUGCACAAGAACCAAUCAGGAGUUGGCAUCCCCAACUUUUCUUAAUAGUUGCACAACAAUGCCACAUGAGUUGGCAUCUUCAACUUUUUUUUGAGGGAGGCAUCUUCAACUUCUUUACUUGCACAAGAACCAUUAAGUAGUUGGCAUCCUCAUGUAUUCACAUGCAUGCACUUGAAUGUAGUUGCACUACUUAUUUGCAAGAUUGUAAUCUUUUAGAAUUCACUAUUUUUUUCCAUUUCUUGUGUCCAGACAUGCUAAAUUCAUCAAGUUCAUCAGUUCAAAAUUCAUUACAUAGUUGAACAAACAUGCAAUAUGAAUUGCAUGCAGGAGUACUUGCAGUUGCACAAAAUAGAUGAUCUAGUUGCACAACAACUAGUAUAAGUUUUUCCAUUUGGAAUUUUGCAUACAAAAUUUUAGCCAAACCAAAAUGAAUCUAAAAUUAUAUGAGUUGGCAUCUUCAACUUUUUAUGAGUUGCAGAUGCCAACUACUGAAAUUCAGACCCCACAAGUAGAUGGAUAUGGCAGUGUUGUCAGUUGCACACUUGUGAUGGUUAAGUUGCACAGAUACAACCCAGAGCUGGUUCAUUUUUCUAAGGCUUCAUUUUUGCAUGAUGUGUAGGUUUUACAGGUUAUGGGGGUAGAGGAGCUGCUAUAGAUUUGUGCACACAAUUCUCAGCUACAAAGUCACAUAUACUACUGUGUGGAAAGAUCAAAGGAAAAAAACACUUCCAAACCAGAUUCUUGUCCAGUAGGUAGUUAUCUUUUCAUAGUAGCUACAACACUUUUUUUUGCUACAUGUACAUCUGUUCUUCUGCAUUAUGUGUGAAUAAGAUUCUCUAUGUGCACUCUCCUAUAUUUUUGCACAUUUUCUGCGUUUUGUUACACACAUGUUGUAAAAGUUGGCUUGUCCCAUGAUGUAGUUGCACGAAAAUCAGUUAAAAGAGCACAAGUACCAGAUCUCCCCGUUUUAAUCUCUGUUUAUGCUAUCUUCAACAACUAUGGAGAAGCUACUUUUGCAAAGAGAAAUUUGGUGAGGGAGAAAGGGAAAGGCAAGGAGGAAGGACCUGAACAGGAGGAGAAAGGAUCACCUCUUUUUCCACCCUUGCUGGUGCCUACUGCCUGGUACGUUCUGAUCUAUCAUCCCUCUCUCUUCUUUUUUUUGCACCAAAUUGUUCCAGUUCCACUCUUAUUGAACUUUGAUUCAUCUGCCAUGGCAGCUCUAGCAAUGGAGAUCCAGACAUGAAAACCCCUUUGUUUCAUGGGUAAGAAGGUGGGGCAGGCAGAGGCGUGGGGAAAAAGAAGUUGGUGGUCAGAGGGGCGUGAGAGCUUCAGGAGGGGAGGGAAGGGCAUGUGAUGGCCUGGGGACCACGUCCCCUGUUGCUACCGGGGAAGNNNNNNNNNNNNNNNNNNNNNNNNNNNNNNNNNNNNNNNNNNNNNNNNNNNNNNNNNNNNNNNNNNNNNNNNNNNNNNNNNNNNNNNNNNNNNNNNNNNNNNNNNNNNNNNNNNNNNNNNNNNNNNNNNNNNNNNNNNNNNNNNNNNNNNNNNNNNNNNNNNNNNNNNNNNNNNNNNNNNNNNNNNNNNNNNNNNNNNNNNNNNNNNNNNNNNNNNNNNNNNNNNNNNNNNNNNNNNNNNNNNNNNNNNNNNNNNNNGCUCCCUAGUCGCUCCCUUUUACUAGAUCUGGAGAUUUUCUGCAGCUAAAAAAGUCAUCAAGGAAGCAAAACAAAGAUUUUUUAGAAAAAAAGAUUGUGUGUGUGUGCUUUUUUCUUUAGAAACAAAAAAAAAUAUUGUGUAGUACGUCAGACAACCUCUAGGCUACCUUGCACAGGCAGAACGACUUCUACAGCCAUCGGACUGCAGGGAGGAGUGAGGAAUGACCCUUUGAACCGAACGCAUCACGCUAAUUUUUUUAAAUAAUACAUUUUUUUAUUAAUUCGCAAAAAUAUUAUGCUGAAAAAAUAAUUUAGGCUACCAGUCGGCCUGCUGCGGGCUGACGGUAUAUUAUUUUCGUAAAUUAAUUUUUCGGCGUAAUAUUUGUGAAAAUUAAUUAAAAAAUAUAUUAUUUAAAAAAAUUAGCACGCAUCACAGCUUAUUUUUUCAAGGAAAGCAAGCCUGUAAAGUUUCAUGCAAAUCGAACGGAGCUGAGCGAGUGAGAUGCAUAGACGGAAGCUCAGCCCAUCUGAGAAAUACUUACAUUCUCAAAAAACAGUUCUGAGAAAUACUUGUCCCGUAUGGCUUUACCACCCUAAAAAAGUAUGCCCUUUUCUUUUGUUGAAACUGCAUUUCAUUUUAUUCUAUGUAAUUAGUUUUAUUUUUGUUAAAUACUACUCCCUCCAUCACAUAAUGUAAGACUAGUGUCGAAAAACGUCUUACAUUAUGGGACGGAGGGAGUACCUCCGUCUGGGUUUAAAAAUUGUGACAUCCCUAGUUUGACAAUACACUAGGAUAGCUCUCCUUGUUUGCAUCAUGUUUAAACUUCAAGAUUUUACUGGAGUACCGGGGGUUACCGGAACCCCCGAGGGUUUAAUGGGCCUACAUGGGCCUUAGUGAAGAAGAGAAGGGGCGGCCAGGGCAGGCCGCGCCCCCCCUCCCCCUCUAGUCUGAAUUGGACAAGGAGGGGUCGGCGCCCCCCCUUUCCUUCCUCUCUCCCUCCUCCUGGCGCGCCUCCUCCUGGCCGGCCGCCUCUCCCUCCCUUGCUCCUUUAUAUACGGGGACAGGGGGGCAUCCCAGAGACACAACAAUUGAUCUCUUGGAUCUCUUAGCCGUGUACGGUGCCCCCCUCCACCAUAGUCCACCUCGAUAAUAUCGUAGGGGUGUUUAGGCGAAGCCCUGCGUCGGUAGAACAUCAUCAUCGUCACCACGCCGUGCUGACGGAACUCUCCCUCAAAGCUCGGCUGGAUCGGAGUUCGAGGGAUGUCAUCGAGCUGAACGUGUGCUGAACUCGGAGGUGUCAUGCGUUCGGUACUUGGAUCGGUCGGAUCAUGAAGACGUACGACUACAUCAAUCGUGUUGUGCUAACGCUUCCGCUUAACAGUCUACGAGGGUACGUGGACGACACUCUCCCCUCUUGUUCCUAUGCAUCACCAUGAUACUGUGUGUGUAGGAAAUUUUUGAAAUUACUACGUUCCCCAACACCCCAUUCCUCCGCUAUGUAGUUAGGUUUUGGAUUUGUAGAUCGUGGUGCGCCGUUGGGGUGGUGGGAGCGGCGCCCAGACGAAUAAGUCUGCCUCAGCUUCACUCCCACACCGGCAGUGUCGUUCAUGGUGGCGUCUCGGAGUUGAUGGCAUCGUGUGAUUGCCUAUCCUUCGGAUCGGUUCUGUUAGGGUUCAUGGAUGAUGUCGGCGAGGCAGCGACGGCGACUCCAUCAGGUGUGUCUCUCCUUCCGCUCUGUCCCCGUUGCUGUGGCGUUGUCUCCAACGUCAUGGUGGAGCAGAGAGGUUUUGUCAUCCAGGAGUACGCGCAGACGGCUGUCUGCGCAAGUGACAGCUGGAAGAUGGUGCAUCCCGUGCUGGGUUUGUGGUUGGUGGCUGAUAGUUCUGGUUUCCUCCUUCGACGUCGUUGUCGUGCUGGGGUGUCUGAUCUAGAGUUCGAUGGCGUGUCCGGGGACAUGUUGCCCCGGUCCGAUUCUUUCAACGGCAAUGGUUUUGCUUUUGACAAACUACUUUCGAGGUCCGUAAAGCUGCUGAUCAGCGAUGGAGCCGCGUUGAGCUCGGGUGAAGAGGUGAUCUGUUUUCUUUCUCUUUGGUGGCCACUUCGGUGGUGCGGAGGAGAGGAACAUGCGCUGAUAUUUUGCAUAGGAUUAUCCUAUUUUUUCAGCCUUGUAAUGUCGGUGCUUACGUGCCUUGUAACCGGAUCUUUAUUUUAUAAAUGAGACACGUAUUACCAUGAAAAAAAAGAAAAAAAAAGACAGCAGCCGUCUAAACCUUUGUACAUGCCCUCAUUAGCCUAGACGAGUGAAUUAGGCAGUGUGUCAUUCAUAAUUGAUGACUGAAACUCUGCACCGUGACACAGCCAUGGUACAUACCUGUGCCGUGGCAUGCCUCCUACGGUCCUAUCUCGUACGGCGUCCUGGUCUUUCUUGCGGGGCCAGUGGGCCAGCCUGCGAAUUUAACACCAGCCAAUACAACCAACGAUGGCCUGGAUACCGAGCCCACUGAGCGCCGUCCUCCGAAACAAUUUCGGCUGUCGCGGCUCACUAGCGCGUUGGCUAAGGUCGUGGGCCAGCGGACGAACGCGACGGCCCAGUCUGGGAAUAAACUAACGCAGCCCCUGGAAACGUUUAGCACCACAUCGCUUGGCUAGAAACAUUUUACGCGGCUUAAAUAGCCCAGGUGCCGACGUUUCCAUCGCCGAGGACGCAGAGCUGAUUCAUCAGCUCAGCCGAGGCGAAAGCAGUCGCUACGCACUUCUGGCCGGGCCUGUCCCGGCGGCCUGUGACCCUUUAUUACUUUUCUUUCAUAUUUUGCAGGUUGUGCAACAUGUGCACAUGUAAAGUCUAAAAUAAACUAUGGAGGGUUUUUUCCUUUUCUUUUACCUGAAAUCUAAAAAGCGGCCUGCCACUAACUGACCGAAACGGGCGGCCGGCCCGUGGCCGUUCGAUCGCGCGAGCGAUCGCUCCCAGAUCCGCCAGGUGCCACCUGGUCGCGCACCGCGGUCGUGGGCGGUUUUGUCCGCAUCCGGACGUGGGAGGCCCACCUGUAAGUGAUAGAGGAGAGAGUAGUGGGGGUCGUGGGUGGCGGUUUUCGAAAUCUGCGCCUGAAAUCCCUCGCCGCAGUGUGCUCUCUCUCCCCAUUCCUUCAUCGUCUUCCUCCUCGCCAUCCUCUUCACCGAACGGGGCGUGGCGGGCGGAGUGCUCAGAUUUGACGGCGGCUUGCGGGUGGUUCUCCUCGCCGGGGAAUCGCUGGUGCUCCUCGCCGCCGGAGGUAUGCUCUCCCUCCACUUCUACAUGCUUCUCCUCCCUUUCUCUAUCUCGCGGAGCGCGGAUGGUGCCGAAAUGCGAGAAGAAUGCUCUCUAGGGUUCGGGAACGGCGCGAACUACCCCCGCUUAUCUUCGAUUUCCUGCGAUUUUAGGGCGAUUUUAGGGCGAGGGGAAUGCGAGGUCACGUUGAGUUCCGUUCUCCCAUCUCGCAGCACGCGCCCAACGGUGGUCGGGAUCUACAAGGUGGCCUGAAAUCCCUCAACACAGCGAGUUCUCUCCCCAUUCCGUCUUCGUCUUCCUCCUCGCCAUCCUCUCCACCAAAAGGGGUGUCGCGGCGGAGUGCUCAGUUUGGCGACGGCUUGCGGGUGGUUCUCCUCGCGGGGGAAUCGUUGGAGGCGUAGUUCACGGCACGGGGGUGGCUGGACAGGGUCAACGUGUAGUCCCCGUUUGCGCGAUUUUAGGGCGAUUUGGCUGUUUACUUCAUGUUCCAUUCAAUUUUGCAGAGAUUUGAGAUCUGUUCAUGAUUCUUAGUUAUUCUGUAAGUUUGUAUUAGAUGUGCGCAAUGUUGUGUGCAAUGCAUUGGCUGAUUUCGUAGUUGGUGUUCAGAGAUUUAAGUGGUUAGUUGCACAAAAUUCUCCUCAGUUGGCUGCGUCCAUAUAGUACUUGGCUGUCCAUAUGCUCUGCAGUUGCAGCAGUUGUUUUGGUCAGUUGGCUCACUGUUUUUGUACUAGGUGGUUGUCUAUACUGUGUUCAGUUGCACAAGUUGCCUGCUUGGUUGGCUGCAUCACUUUUACUAAGUUGGCUAUUCAUAUGUUAUACACUUGUGCCAGUUGCUCUACUUAGUUGGUUUUACUUAGUUGCAUAUGUUAUACACUUUUACUAGUUGGCUGUUUCCCCCUCUGCUGUGUGCAACUAGGGACUCUUGUUUGUACAAUUUUAGCACCAAUGUUUGCUAGUUUUCCAAUAUAAUCUAUCAAAUCCACCAGCAUUGUGGUGGAUGUGGUGGUUUAUGUGUUAUUCUCCUGCUUUGUGCAACUAGGACCCCUUGAUUUGUGCAAAUUAGUACCAAUGCUUGCCAAUUUUCCAUUUUAAUUUUUCUCAAUGUGCAAGUCUUUUGUUGUGGAUGUGGUUGUUUUCAUGUGUCUCCCUUCAUGUUCAACUAGGGACGCUUUUUUCAGAAUAAGUUAUCUCACUGAGCUUGUUGCCUUUACUUAACUUUUUUCUGUCUAGGUAUUACUUGUCACAGUUGGCAAGUAAUAAUUAGGCAGAAAAAAGUUAGUUGGCUUAUUUGAUGUCCAGUUUGCACAAGGUUUACUGCCCAGUUGGCUGCAUCAUUGUAGUAGUUGGUUGUCCAUAUCUUCUAACUAUGUUUUUUUGUUGUAUUUCCUGCCGCAGGGCAAAAAUGGUUAUAAUAGGAGGAGAUGCGGGUGGCAAUCAAGGAGAUGUAUUUUUAUUCACUUUUUUUCUUUUGUUUUUGAGUUGUUUUUCAACUUAUGCAUGUAUGCUAAUGUCUUUUUUUCAUGUUUUCUUUUGGUUGCUUAAUCAGCGUUCUGGAAGUCAGCCUCUUCGCCGGAACUCGAAGCGUCCUGCUAAUCGCCAGCCACGACCUGCACAGAGUGUUGAGCAGGGAGAGGAUGUUGAGGUAAGUGGCAUGUUGAUGACACAAGUCCAUUUUUUUGGUUUUGUUUGGGUCAUAUAACAUUUUUUUAUUUUUUCCCAUGAUUAUGUUUUUUAUUUUUUUUCUUAGGAUGCUGAACAGUUCUGUGUUGUAAAGCGGACUAGACGUGCAGCACUUGGCAAGGGAGCUGAGUCAUCUUCUAGGGUAAGUAAAAUCUCAAAUAUAAGUGUUUUUCUCGCUUUUUUAGAUAAUGAUGAAAUUAUGCAGCAGUUCCGAACAGUAUUUUUGUUUUUAGUCUGUCAAUAACAACCUUUUGUAGUUGACAUCUCUAGUCAUUUUGAUUUAAAUACAGUUGACAUUAGUUGGCAUUAGUUGGCAUCUUAUAGUUCACUAGUUGGCAUCUUUUCAUAGUUGACAUCAGUGGUCAUUUUUUUGUGCAGGCAGCAGUUGCUGGAGAAGCUGUCGCAUCUUCCGCAGCAGAUGCUGAGGUAUGUGGGUUUUUGUGUGUGUUUAUGAGCUAUUUGAAUAGUUCUUUGCAAACCUUUUUUUCAGUUACUGUUUUUCUUGUGUUGCAAUAUCAUUUCUUAUUGUUGCACAUACACUAGAACUUUUUGUAGCUGCCAGGUCUCGUUCUUUUUUUAUUUACUGUUUUAUUGUUGCACAUUCAGUUGCACACUGGCAGUCUUUGCAGUUGUCCUCAUGAGCUUUAUUAGUUGCACAAAUACAUCAUAUUAGUUGGCAUGAUCCAUUUUAUGAAUAUAUAGCUCAUUCUAAUACUGAUUCAAAUGAUGAUUGCUAGUUUUUUUUCAUUCUUGUUUUUUCUCUUGUGUUUAAUGUUUGUGUAAUGUUUUCAUUUUCUAAUCAACAGGGCAGCGGUGAAGGAGUUGAGGUGCCUCCAGGGGAAGAUGUGGAGCGACCAUCACAAGCAGGCAGGAUAAGGGUAUCACCAGCGCGCUUUGCAAAUUUCAACGCCUCUCUAACCCCACUACAGAAAUCAGAGCUAGUUUCGAGGUCGGUCGGGGGGCUAUUGAACUUAUCAGACACACUUCCAGCGGACCUCACUAAGUUCCUGGUGCAGUCCUACCAGCCACAGACCUCUGAAAUGGUUUUCCCAGGAAGGGGAAGGAUCCGUGUCAAUGCUGACAGUGUUCAGAGGGUAUUUGAUCUCCCAAACAAGGGUCCAAAAGUUAGAUAUUUAGUUGACAAGGAUGCCACUAGGAGAUUCAGACAGGCUUUCAACAUAACUGGAAAUUCUCAUCCCUAGAUCACUACAUGGCUCAAGAUGAUUGAGCAUAUGGCUGGAAGAACGGAUGACACAUUCUUUAUGGCCUGGCUUGCGGUUGCCUUCAGCACUUUUCUAGCACCAACCACGGCCUUGAAGCUCAGCCCAAAGUGUUAUGGACUUGUGCUAGAUCAUCAAAUGCUAAAGAAUAUAAACAUCUGCCUCUUUGUAGCAGAACACAUUAACGAAGCUUUCCGGAACAUGGACCAGGAGAAGCAAACUAUUUGUUGCUGCUUGUAUCACUUGAUGGUUAGUGAAAACGACCACUUUUUUCCAUCUGUUCCUGUUCUUUCUGUGCAGUUAUAGUUUGCUGGAAUUCUCAUAACAAUAACUGAACUUGGCUUUUUCUUUUGUUUGGGUCUGGUGCAGAUACUAUACCUUGAUGCGCUCGUACAUGACAUCCCAGUAAGCAACUGCGCGAUACGAUCGAAUGCAUGGGAUAGUACUCUAAUUGCCAAGGUGAUCAAGAAGGAUACUAUCUCUCCUGGUGUGUUCGGCAAAUUGCAAGUGAGUUAUUUUUUGUUUUUUUCCAAUCGUGUCUUCCUUCUAUGUUCUUUUGAUGUCUGGUCACUCUUUUUUGGAAAUUGCACAGAAAACUGUCAUCAGUUGGCACAACAAUGCAUGUAGUUGCACAGAUUAUAGCUUUAAGUUUGGCAAUCUGCACACAUGUUCAUUUUAAAUUGGCACACCAUCUUUUUUAAGUUGCACAGUUUUACUAAUCUUGUUGCACAGAUGUGUUGCAUCAGUUGGUAGGAACUUUUUUUAGGUGCCAUGUGUGUUGCACAGUUUUUGUGUCUUUGUUCAGUUGCAUAUAUGUAUAGUUGAAUUUGUCUACUCCAGUAUCUUGUUGUAGUUGCACAGGUUGUAAUGUGUGGUUUCAUUCAACACACACAUCUAUUUUGAUAACCUUGUUAUUUUCUGUUUCACUUUUUUUUUUCACAUCAGCUUAAAGAGGAGUAUAGAGGCACGGAGCAGACACCACUGUUUGGUGGAAUUUUGCAAGCUGAAGCAUUUGUGGCAUCCAAAUUACCAAUAACAUACAAUCCGCAGGUUAGUGUUUUGCAUACAGAAACUUGUAUCACUUACUAAUAUUUUUUCUAUUGGCUGGGAUGUAUGUUCAGUUGGACAUGUAUAACUUUUGUAGUGGCGAAAAUACAGAAUUUAGUUGGCUGUGAUGUAUGUUCAGUUGCACAUAUAAGCUUUUGUAGUUGCACAUGUUCUUUUGGAUAGUCAAAGUGUUCAUUUACAACCAUUGUCAUCAACUUUUGGCAGAAAUGCAUGGUUUUUACUUUGUGCCACAGUGCAUUUUGUAGUUGGCUAGAAUCAUGUUUUUAGUUGGCUAGAAAGUGUGUAUUAGUCAUUUUUGCUUAUCACAUCAUGGUCAGUUACAGACAUUUUUACUUUUUAUUAUUUUUUCUAACUGAAUCAGUACUGAAUCUUUUUUGUGUUGAUGCAGAAAAAGGCAAAAAUUGCGAAAGUGGUCAAUGAGCUGUGCAAGGCUGUAACUGAACAGGUUGGCACCUUCAUUGAAGAAGUUGCCAAGAUUGAUGACGAGGAACCAGAUAUUGAUCCUUACGUACAGCAGCCAUCAAUGCAAACUGGGGCAUCACGCCGUGCUCCAAAAAGAAAGAGACGGCGGUCAACUAUACAAGAAGAAGAAGAAUUUGUUGAGGAUGAUUCAGAAGAAGAUGAGGAAAUGGAAGCAGCGAUAGAUGCUGACGACGAUGAGGAGACAGAUGCGGAUGAAUCAUAUGAGGAGGACAAGGAUGAGGAUGACAAUGAAGAAGAUGCAGACGAGGAGGAGGAUGAGAAGGAAGAGGAGGAGGAGGAGAAGGAGGAGGAGGAGGAGGACAAACAAGAAGAGGACAAAGGAGAGGAGGAGGACAAGGAAGAAGAUAGUGAUGCAGAGGAGGAGGAAGAAGAAGGUGAGGCCAGAGAGGGGGACGGGGACAAAGGGGCAGCGGUUGAUGGCAGUGAGAGGGGAGAAGACAAAGGCGCAACAGCUGAUGGCAGUGAGAGGGAAGAAGACGAGGAUGAUUAUGGUGAUGAUAAAGGGGGAUCCAAUGGAGGCAGCGACAGCAGCGAUGACGAUGAUGAUGACAACGCCCCUGGUUCUGGUGGUACAGGUGGCAACACAUCCAGGAGGACUAGCACUCAUGCCAACCCUGCGAGCAGCAGCAAUUCAUUGAGUAGCAGGAGCACACUACAGAUGUUGAUUGACAAGACUUGCUGGAAAGACAAGGAUUUUCCAAAGUCAAAGAAAAAUGACGAAGCAGAGUCUCAGGGCAGCAUUGAUAUGUUCAAGCUCUGCAAUUUGAAGCCAGCUUUGCCAACCACCUUUCCCGUGCCAGAUUUCAGCGACAAAGAUAUGUGUGAAAAGAUCAACUUUGCCAUUGACAAGAGCCUGUUCUUAUCAACUGAUGCUGAAAAGAAUCAAAUUGACAUGGAGGAAGCAGGAAAGGGUCUUGACUGGGUUCAUUCAAAGGAAAAAUACAAGGAAUAUUUAAAGCAGCUCCCAGACCUAAGCUCCAGCAAGAGCAAGGCAGCAUCCACGGCAAACCCUCACGUGGUUCAGAAGCGUAAAGAAGUUUCAAUUAAGAAGAAUCUGCAGUUGCCUCAAAUCAAGGAGAAGAUGGUGAGUGCAGGUGCUGAAGUAAAUAUGAUCAAGAAAGCUGUGCUUCAAACUGAUAUGCCAACAGUAGUGAGCAGAGAGCCAACCAAUGUCAGAGAAGUUCAACAGAUCAAGGGGAAGACUCCCCUUUCAACAGUCCCACCAAAACCACCUAAGCAGAAGAUUAUCAAGUUUGCCAGGGGCGCAAAGGGGGAACAGGCCACAAAAGAUUUGGGGUUCAGAGACGAGAGAGAGCUGCGAGCCGCAGCCAUUGAUGCAGGGGUGCCAAGUUCUGCCAGGUUGCUGCCAACUCAGACUGGAAAGAUGCCAACUACAGAUACCAGUGUGCCAACUGAUGUGUCAGUUAGCAGCAUGGUCACAGUCAAAACCACCACAGCUGGCUAGGAAGGCACCACUGCAACUGCAAGUCCCAAGGUGCCUACUGAUAGAGAUGCUUCAAUGCCAAACACAAAAGGAGGUCAUCCAACUGUCAAAGUGUCGUCCCCAAGAGCUAUCUUUCAGCAACCAUUAACACAAGAGGAGGUGUUCGACAUUAUAAGUAGGUGCAAGCCUCCAAGGCCGCCAACUACAACACUAUUGCGAACCAAGUCAGUGAAUGAUGCACCCGUGUUUGUGCUGCAAGGAGAUGCCCUGGUCUUUGAACCCUUACGAAGAUCAAACUCUUAUCAUGGUGACGGGUUCUGCGAUGCACCAUCUUUUGACCUCGGCAUAGAUGGUGAUGCUCCAGCACCUGCUCCAGCAGCAGAAACAGCGGAAGCCGGUGUGAUCAGCAUCGAUGAGUGUGAGUUAUACCCAGCAGCUGUGAAUGAAGGAUGUGAUGCUGCUGAUGCUGGCAAGGCAAUAGCUCAAGAACUAGAUGUUGGUUCACCAGAGAAUUGCCACACCCGGAUAUGCGCAGAACCAGAACUUGGCACGAGCAGUUCUUCGGGGCCACCUCUUGCACGAAGACAGAGGAGGGUAAGAAGGCCCGCAGCAUCUCAAAGGUCUCCAUUCAUCGACUACAACAAGAACAAGACUUUCAGCACCAAUGAGGUAGUGAACAAGCUUUACACUGCCCUCUUGUAUUGGGUCAGGCAUCACAAAGGAGCAGAUGAUGGAGCUACCAGGUAAACUAACUCCCCACAGCCUACAUACAUAUCUUUUUCAGUUGCAUAGUAUCAGCCACUUAGUUGCACAGAAAGCAUAGUAUGUUGCACAGAACAGGGCUUUUAGUUGCACAUUAUUCUUUUUUCAUUUUCAUGCACAUUUUUUUUUGCUGCUGUGACCCUUCGAGCUAACUUGUCUUUUUAUUGCUUUCAAAAAAAAUCAGCCCUGAGAUAAUCAGGUAUGGUGCUUUCUACACUUCUUUAAAGGAGUUAGUUGAUUCGAUGAAGCCGGUUCAAUGGUUGUCAAAAAUUGUUAUUGAGACUAGAAUCUUACACAUAAUGGAUAACUUACCAGAAGGGUCAAAGAAGGUUGUUAUGCCACUGAGGUUUUCUGUAAGUUUUUCCAAAACCUUCUUUUUACCCUCAUCUUUGUUCUGUAGCACUUUUUCGUUGACCAUUUGAGGGAGGCCUUUCACCUACUAAGGAGUUUUGAGCCAUGUUUUAUAAUCUCUGCAGAUAAAAUUACAGCAAGGGAUCCACAAUAUGAAUGAGAUGAACAAGAAGUUUGAUUAUAAGAACCGUCUCGACAAGAAAGACUUGGUGAGUGUUGUGCCCACAUCAUCAAUCUUUUUUUAGUUGGCACCCACAACAUGUCCAGUUGCACAUGACACAUCUGUUAGUUGGCAGAUACUUGUUGCAACCCGUUUUUAACUUGACCAAGUCUUUUACUGUUUUUCUUAGCUACAUCUUGUAUUUGUGUCUGAAAUCGUUCACGCUUGCAGGUCAUGCUGCCAGUGCUCGAGUGCGCAGAUGUAACCGAUAAGGACGGAGGGAGGCAUUAUUGGGUCUUUAGUGUCAACUUGAGGGACGGACGCUUCGAAGUUCUUAAUUCAAGCAGAACGCUGGACAACAUUGAGCUAAUGAACAACGCCUCUACCAUUGCGGGGGCAGUACGCCAGCUAUGGAGGAAGCAUUACCCAAAGUUCAGCAUCGAGCACUUCCAUAUUAUUGACAUUGACAUACCAAAGCAGCUUGGCAAGUAAGACAAUAAGCAUUUCAUUCCUUCUCAAUCAAAUACAAUCAUUUUGUAGUUUUUAAAUUUUUCUACAUGUGCAAUCUUUAGUAUUUUUUAGACACAGUACUAGUCUUCAAUCUGUUUUAUCAUUUUUAUGAGUUUCUAAUGGAUUAUCUAGCUAGUUGCAGAGUGGCGCAUAAGUAGUUGCACAGUGGCACAUAAUGAGUUGCAGUAGAACACAAGCAGUUGCAUAGUAGGACAUAAGUAGUUGACCCAAUUAUUUGGUUUUAAUUUUAUGUGACAAUUUUUUUUGCCCAUUUUUUGCAGUAAUGAGUGUGGGUUGUUCGCACUGCUUAACGCCACCGAGUGGAAUGGUAGCCAACUGCCCAACUACGACCCCAAGGAAGUACUCAACAUCAGGAAGAAGCUGACGUAUGAUUGGGUCACCAGCGUGCACAACACCGCCCCAUGAAGGAAGUUGCUAAGAUACGACAAGGAGUAGAUCAGUACUAUUUUUUUUCUGCUCCAUGGAGGAAGUUGCUGGUUUGUACAAUUUUAUUAAGUAGAUUUUGUAGUUGCACACUGCUAGUAAUUGCGUUUGCAACUCAAUAUCAUCACUUUUGUUGAUACAUUAGGAGCACUGGAUAUACAAUUGUUCAACAACUAAAUAUUUAACCAGUUGCCAACAAAGGCACAAAUAGCAACUUUUUUUACACAGUGCAUGAACUAAUUCAAGAAGCAUAAAUUAGAUAAAGAGGAAUCAUAGAUGUUGAAUGUGUCCACUUGGUCCCAACAUUGCUAAAAAAGACAUCAUUAUUUUCCUUUUUUGUUCCAAAGUUACAAAUGAGGAAACAGAAUCACAGGAGCCUCUGUGGACACACACCAACAGUGUGCUCUGUAGAUUGGCACUGGCUGCAUUUGUUUUUCUUCUUUGGGUGUAGCUCCAGCGCCGAUUUGUACCGUCGACUCUUUGCCCUACCCUUUGUAGUAGACCUUGGAGGAUCCCUGGGCACAAAAUCAUCAGAAGCUUGUGCAAGGGAUGCAGCCUCCAACGGGGCAGUAGGACCGUCACGAUCACCUGUGUAAUAAUCAUAUAAAAAGUUUAGUAUUUUUGUUAUUGUGCAACCAGCACUGAUGUUCUGUGCAACCACACAGUACAUUUUGUGCAACUAACUAGUUGUUGUGUGCAAGUUAAGUUGAAAAAAAUACCUGCAGUAGCACGGCCUGUCAUGGUACUUGGAUUGUAGUCGCCUAUGGGCAGAACAUGAAAAACAAGUUAGAUUUUUAGCUUGAUCCUCAAACUAACACAGCGCAUGCAACUAGGCAGCAUGUUUCUGUUCAACUGGGCACUAUGAUAUGUGCAACUAAAGUCACUCACCAUAGUUUUUGUUUUGGAGUCGGUGAAGGUACUAACCUGGGUUAUGAGCCCCCUGAGUCCUACCUGUAGGUCCAUUGGGAGUAGCACAAAGGGCACUGCUAGUUGGGCCUGGCGGGGGAGGAGGUAUUUGAGGGUUGGCAUCACCUAUAGGCAGAACAGGACAAACAAGUCAGUUGUGUUUAUCUUUUUGAUGCUCGAACUAACACAGCAUGCGCAACUAGGUAGCCUGUUCGGUGCAACUGAGCACCAUGAUGUGUGCAAUUGGAGUUACAGACCUAGUUUGAUGGGGAGUUGGGGGCAUGUAAUUACCUAGACGACGAGCCCCCUGAGUGCUGCCUGUAGGGCCAUUGGGAGGAGCAUGCAGGGGAGGAGGUGGCGGAGGAUGCCGUGUACAGCCAGGAGGGGGAGGAGGUCCUUGAGGGUUGACAUCACAUAUAUGCAUAACUGGAAAAAUAAGUUAGCUGUGUUAUCUUGAUGCUUGAACUAACACAGCAUGCGCAACUAGGCAGUAUGUUCUGUCCAAGUGGCUACCAUGGUGUGUGCAACUGGGCACAAUGAUGUGUGCAACUGAAGUUACACACCUAGUUAGAUCAGGAGUUGGGACGGGUAAUUACCUGGAUGAUGAGCCCCCUGAUUGCUGCCUGGAGGUGGUGGAGGUCCUCGAGGGUUGCCAUCAUCUGAUGGCCCCGUUGCAGCAGUCGGUUUUUUCUUUUUCUUGGACUUGUUCAGGUGGCCGAUCUCGGUACGUGCUGCACGCAUAUGCUUGUAUACAAUAGAUUGUGCUGGAUCAGAACCACUCGCAAACUUUGCUAGUUUCCGAAAAUCGUAUAUUAUGUUCCUCUCCCUUAUCUGCUUCUUUGAUUGAGGAGGCAUUUCAUCCGGUUGCUCAUAACUAGUCCUUGGCGCACUAGGUACAGCAGUAGGUGUCCACCGUCUUAACAGGUACCUUUCCGGUAUGACAUCAACGCCAACAUGGGUGAACACCUUGAGGAUGUGGCAACAAAGGAUGCCGUCCUUGUCCAUUUUACAACACUAACACAAAUAGGAACCCUCCUCCACCCUUGCCUGCACCAAGUAGUUUCAAGAACCAUAUUUCGCAAUAAAUUCCUGGUUCGGUCUGAGCUCAAACGCAUCAGCACCAACUUGGAAUGCAUUAUAACGUCCAAUCAGCUCAAACUCUUCUCUAAACUUGCGGUAAAGGUCUCUAGUAUAGGUUUUGUAAGCUUGCUUCUCUAUUGGGAAGUUGGACCACAACUCAAUCUCAAGGUGUUGUGUCCUGUAAUCAUUGCAGCCUUCCUUGGCAAGGAUGUGGUUCUGUAUUUUUUUAUAUUGCUUGACGAAGUUCAGCAUUGAGUUGUGUGGGUUCACAUAUCUUUUGAGGACGGCGUUGAACCCCUCACUACGCUGUGUAGACUGGAGGAAGGGAAAGAACCUGUGUUUGAAGUAGCACGGCACCCAAGUUGACCUGUAUUCGUACAACUUCUCAAAGUGCAUGCAUGCCAUAGCCUCAUACUUCAUCAUUAACCCAGCCCAAUUCUGCUCAAACUCGUCUAUAGUGAAGCUGAAGUCAACACACUUGUUGAAAUCAUCAGAGAGUCCUGGAUUCCGGCACAGCAACCAACCAACCUUUUCCUGGGCCUUUUUCAUGAUGUGCCAUCGACAACAACGGUGCACGAUGGUUGGAAAGAUGCUCUGUAUUGACUGCCUUAUCGCACCAUCCUGAUCGGUGAUGAAGUUGUCAGGAGGUUUGCCAUCCAUAGCCUCUAGGAAUGCUCCAAAGACCCAAUCAAAGCUCGAUGCCAACUCCUGCCUCACAAACGCGCAACCCAGCAUGAAAGAUUGGCCAUGUCGGUUUAUUCCUAUGAAGGGCGCGAACAGCAUAUUGUACAAGUUGGUCAUGUAGGUGGUGUCAAACGAUAUGCAAUCGUGGUACGCCUCCGCGUAAGCUUUUCGAGCUAAGCCGUCCACCCAAAAUAUGUUGACAACUCUGUCCUCUUCAUCAUAUUUCACCUUAUAGAAGAAGUCUGGAUCGGUUUUUUGUAUAUCCUUGAAGUGCGCAAUUGUCUCAAUCAGAUCACCCUUCUUUGUGUCAUCUCUAUGGAAACUUGUACAAAGAUUUGUUAUUGCCUUUGGUCCGAACGGCACCAUCAUCUCAGAUCCAUAGAACUCUGCCAUUACAUGCAUCAUUCGUCCUGCAUAAUACAAAAACAAACAGUAUAUCCUUUUUUUAGUUGCACAAAUGCGCACAUCCAGCUGCACAGUAAUAGGACACGUGUUGGCACAGAAGAUAAUCACAGGAAAUGGACACCUAGCUGCACUUUUUUAAAAACAUUUUGCAAUUUUUGCAUACAGGACAUUGUGUAUUUGCACAGUAAAGACAAUCUAGUUGCACAAGAAGCACCAAAAGUGAAAUAUAAAAAGCAUGGAAAGUAGGACAGCAGUUUCAUAGUUAAGCCAUUUCAGUUGCACACUGGACUGCCUAGAGGGAAACUUAAUUUUUCAAGGGAUAUAGAGAAACACCACACCUGUAGUCAAGUUGCAGUUAUACAAGAUGCGCAGAAACUCCUUUUCAUCAGGUGAGAUGCCUUGGUAGGAUCUCAAGUAUUUGGACAAUGAAGGUUUGUUCACGAGCGGAUGAUUGUGGUCACGAACAAAGUGCGUCACCUCCCAUCGCCCAUCUAUCAGCUUCACCAACAUUUUCGCCUUGCAUUCAGUCUGCUUUAUUGUCUCGCGUUUGCGCUUCUUCUUCUUCUUACUAGUACCAGCCUCCUCUUCAGCAAAUAUUGGAGGUUCUUCUUCCAUCUCCUCAUCACUGUUAACAGAUGUUGGAUCUGGAAUAGGGUCCAGGUAAGGAGGAGCCUCAGCUCCUCCAUCAUCAGCUUUGGGCUUCUUGAACUUGUUGCAGCAAAACUGUUGUUUUAUCAAUUCAUUGGUGCGGUGUGUCCGUCUAGAGGUGUUCAUCUUGAUAGAGAAACCCAUCCGUAGUGCGUAACUGUUGUAGUGAUCCUUAGCAAUUUGAAGGCUGUCAAACAUCAUGCCAACAUAGGGUUUCAUAGGUUGAGAACCAGCCUCAUCCUCUCCUUCUUCUACUUGCACAGCUCCGUCAACAGCCCGAGCUCCUAGCUCAGUCCUGGUUGGACCAGGAACAUUUGCCUUGGUUCCUGUGUCAUCAAGAGUAUGGCUCUCUGACUGCAAAGACACCACUACAGGGGCACCAUGGGCUGAUGACUGGCCUGCCACAUUGUCAUGGCCCGUAGGGUUACCAUCACGACUUGCCUGCGUGUAGUAAACAGAUCGACCAUUUUCUGUCCAGUUUCCUUGUUGUAUGCUGGGUUGCUGCUGAUCCAUAUCAUGAGGAAGCUCAUUGAGAUCUGGAGGCAACUCAUUAAGAUCAAGCAUUUUUUCCUUUUGUUUUUGGAUGCUGCCACACACUCCCUGCACAUAUAAAAAAAGAAGAAAUUGAUGUCAUCAGUUGGUACCCACAGAAAAAUUGUGUUUCAAACAACCUAAAAGCAACAUGACCAUAGCAUAAUCUUUUAUUAUAACAGUUAUGAAUUUUUUUUGUUUGCACAGAGUUGUUAUGUUAGUUGCACAGUUUGCAGUAAAUAACUGGCAAGAGCAUGACUUCUUUUUGCUACAGAGUUUUUCUUACCUUUUCCCGUUUUGUUUUGUUGCAAUGAUCUGUAGGUUUCCGUUUCGCAAGGAGCUCUUUUCAGAUUUUUCUGCACAUAAUUGGAUGCUACAUUUGAGAAGGAAAAUCCAGGUGAAAGAAGAAAGAAGAAUUGGAGGACAGAUUAUAGUUAAUAUGGUUCUAGAUCUGGUAUAUUUGAACAUAUUAAUAUGGUUUGCAAUAGGUGUGGGACCAGAAUAUAUGCGUGGGACAAGAUUACGUGUGUGAAUAUGUUAAUAUGGUUUGUGGCUUCAUUAGCCAUGGACAAAAGUUCCUAUGUUUUUCCUGUUGCACUACAGAUUUCUGGUUUUCGCUAGAAUAGAUGUCUCAAUUUCCAGGAUUUCCACUUGGCCAGCAUACAUAUUCAGUUGGACAUUCAAUGCUUUUAGUUGGCUAGAAUAGAUGUCUCAGCUGGUCAGGUUGCAUUUUUUCAGUUUGUGGCCAACAUGCAUGUUCAGUUGGACAGUUAAUGCAUUCAGUUGGCUAGAAUAGAUGUCUUAGUUGCCUAGAAUAUAUGUCUUAGUUGGUCAUCAGUUUUUGGCCAACAUGCAUGUUUAGUUGGCCAGAAAACAUGUUUUUUAUUUCCACAUAUACUACAUUUUUUCCAAAGUGUUCACUCAGAAACAUGUAUUGCCAAAUAUAUGUUUAGUUGGCAGGAUACAUGUUUAGUUGGCCAGGAUACAUGUUUAGUUGGCUGGGAUGCAUGUUCAGUUGCACAUUUAUGAAUUUUUCGUUGCACAUGUUCAACAAAGCAUUGGGCAGUCAAUUUUUUGUUCAUUUUGCAAACAAUAACUAGAAGUUGGCUUUAAUCAUGUUUUAAUUGGUCAGAGAACUCGUUUUUAGUUGGCUUGUUUUAACACAUCCAGGUGGUAGUUUUUGGCAUGUUUAACACAUCCAGCAUGUUUAACAUCUGGUGUGAUGUGCCAGAUUCACCUCUUUUUUGAAGCAGAUUCUCCAUGGAUCCAUGGAGAAGGGGGAAGUGAAGUGGAGAGGGGGCUUACCUGCUCGAUCUUACUGCCUGGUAUGGCUCUGACCACCCUGCCCUUUAGAUCUUGAAGCAGCUCCUACUUUGGGGCUCCCAUGGCGGCUGUCUAGGAGGAGGAAGAAGGGCUGGGGGCGAUUGCGUUUGGAUCUGUUUCUGGCGUGCAGAAGAAGAAGGCAUCGUCGGUGGGGCUGAGGCGUGGGGGCGAGCGAUGGCGUGGAUUCUGCAACCUGGGCAGAUCCUCCUUCUUUCGUGAGGAAGAAGAAGAUAGCCAGGGCGCAGUUUGGCGAGGAGGGUGCACGUGAUCCCGCGGGGCAUGGUUUGGCGAGGAGGGUGCACGUGAUCCCGCGGCCAGCUGGCGGGCGGGGCAGUUGCCUUUUUCGCUCCGACGGGCGGGGACCAGGUGGACCACGUGGGCGAGCGGGGGACUGUUUCCUCUUUCGCUCGAGGGGGGACCAGGUGGUUUCCUUUUUCGGGUGGCCGCUGGCUAGCGAUCCCAGGGCGGCCGGCCGCCCACUAGACUUUCUUUUAUUACUCUUUUUAAUUUUUAUUUUCCUAAUAUUUUUUUCCUUCUUACUACUCUAAGGCUCAUAUAUUAAUAUUUUGCAGGUUGUGCAACAGGUGCACAUGUAAAGUAUAAAAUAAAAACUAAAAAUAAACAAACUUUUUUUCUUUACCUAAUAUUUUUUCUUUUCUUUUAUUAGUCUUUUUAUUUUUUUUUAAUUUUGCUAAUAUUACUCUAUUUUACUACUCUAAGGCUCAAAAUCUAAUAAUUUGCAGGUUGUGCAAUAGGUGCACAUGUAAAGUCUAAAAUAAAAAAAUGAAAACUAAAAAUAAACUGAGAAAAGAAUGUUGGUGGCCAGCCGAGUUGAGAAAAGAAUGUAUCCAAUAAAUGCUUAUUUUUGGCAGGAAUAGCAGAGAAACUAGUUCUUCUUUUCAGUGCUCGUAUUAUUUUCUUAGUUCGUACUACCAUCUUUCUUUACUUGAGAAGAAAAUGGUAGAUAACAACACCCAGCCAUUACUUACAAACGUACUGCCCAUGCAGCAUUGUCAGCAAUGCAAACUAAAUUUGUCCAAGGAAAAAUCUUAGAGUUAUUGAUAAUAAAAAAUAAUUCAAGCAUACGGUGCACAGAUUCAGGGGCUAUUCGGCUCGAUUGUCUCGGAUCUGCUGUCAAUUCACAUGCCAUUUACAUCUACUAGUAUUCGAUAUAUUCACCUACCGGAUUAGGUUUGGUUUCUGUAAGCACUUGGUUGAAUGCUGUGGGCACUCCUUGUAGCUUCACAACAUGCCGUGUUCCAUGGUCCAGCCUGACAAAACUUUUGUUGCAAACAUAAGACGCUUGAUAUUUUCGUCAGUCACUGCCAUGCCAUAGGAUUGCUCAAUCAAUGGGGAAGAUAAGAAGCAAUACCUUUUUCACACGGCUUGUCGCGAUCCAAUCAUAGUGAUUAUCCGAUCAUGUGAGACGAUUGGAGGCUCCUAGAUAGUGAUCUGUCUGGACUAUCUGGUGGUCCGUUACUCUUCUGUAGAUUAGCUCUUAGCACUAACUGGAUGUAGAUAGGACCAACAUGCAGGAGAACUGGAGAAUAGUUGACUUCUUCUCGCACCACCCGGAGAGUCUGCACAUGUUCACCUUCCUCUUUGAUGAUGUUGGCAUCCCACUCAACUACAGGCACAUGGACGGUUUUGGUGUCAACACCUACACCUUGAUCAGCAGGGAUGGAAAGGCUCACCUUGUUAAGUUCCAUUGGAAGCCUACAUGUGGUGUCAAGUGCCUCUUAGAUGAUGAAGCCGUUACUGUUGGAGGCACCUGCCACACCCAUGCCACAAAGGACUUGACUGAUGCUAUUGCAGCUGGGAAUUACCCAGAAUGGAAGCUCUUCAUUCAGACCAUUGAUGCUGAUCAUGAGGAUA